AGGAAUCCAACGCUUUAAACGGUACACGAAUCAAAGCUAAAAUGAAGAAGUUAUAGCCAUUGGAAGCCAAUCGCACCAAGUUGAAGGCGAAUUUCGCAACUGCGAAAUCACAAGGUGCUAGCUGCGAAAUCAGCCUUUGGCUGCGAAAUGGAGACUUUCAGCUUGCGAAAUUUCGCAGCCCAUCUUGCAUGCCUGUGAAAUCCACCUGAGUGCUUCCAG
rnacentral:lncRNA from 1 species